CCUACGGGAGGCAGCAGUGGGGAAUAUUGCACAAUGGGGGAAACCCUGAUGCAGCGACGCCGCGUGAGCGAGGAAGUAUUUCGGUAUGUAAAGCUCUAUCAGCAGGGACGAAAAAAGACGGUACCUGACUACGAAGCCCCGGCUAACUACGGGCCAGCAGCCGCGGGACUACGUAGGGGGCAAGCGUUAUCCGGAUUUACUGGGUGUAAAGGGAGCGGAGGCGGCAAGGCAAGCCAGAAGUGAAAGGGCAGGGCUCAACCCUGUACAUGCUUUUGGCACUGGGGUGCUAGAGUGCAGGAGAGGUAAGUGGAAUUCCUGGUGUAGCGGUGAAAUGCGUAGAUAUUAGGAGGAACACCAGUGGCGAAGGCGGCUUACUGGACUGUAACUGACGUUGAGGCACGAAAGCGUGGGUAUCGAACAGGAUUAGAUACCCGAGUAGUC
rnacentral:rRNA from 1 species